GAUGAACGCUGGCGGCGUGCCUAAUACAUGCAAGUCGAGCGAACAGACGAGGAGCUUGCUCCUCGGACGUUAGCGGCGGACGGGUGAGUAACACGUGUAUAACCUACCUAUAAGACUGGGAUCAUCUCGGGAAACCGGCUCUAAUCCCGGAUAAUAUAUUGAACCGCAUGGUUCAAUAGUGAAAUACGGCUUUGCUGUCACUUCUCGAUGGAUCCGCGCCGCAUUAGCUAGUUGGUAAGGUAAAGGCUUACCAAGGCGACGAUGCGUAGCCGACCUGUGAGGGUGGUCGGCCACACUGGAACGGGGACACGGUCCAGACUCCUACGGGAGGCAGCAGUAGGGAAUCUGACGCAAUGGGCGAAAGCCUGACGGAGCGACGCCGCGUGAGUGAUGAAGGUCUUCGGAUCGUAAAACUCUGCUAUUAGGGAAGAACAAAUGUGUAAGUAACUAUGCACGUCUUGACGGUACCUAGUCAGAAAGCCACGGCUAACUACGUG
rnacentral:rRNA from 1 species